UACGGGGGGAGCAAGCGUUGUUCGGAUUUACUGGGCGUAAAGGGCGCGUAGGCGGCGUGUCAAGUCGAUUGUGAAUCUCCGGGCUUAACUCGGAACGGCCAAUCGAUACUGACGUGCUAGAGUGCAGAAAGGGCAAUCGGAAUUCUUGGUGUAGCGGUGAAAUGCGUAGAUAUCAAGAGGAACACCUGAGGCGAAGGCGGGUUGCUAGGCUGACACUGACGCUGAGUGCGCGAAAGCCAGGGGAGCAAACGGG
rnacentral:rRNA from 1 species